rnacentral:rRNA from 1 species
CUUCUACGGGAGGCAGCAGUGGGGAAUAUUGGACAAUGGGCGAAAGCCUGAUCCAGCCAUGCCGCGUGUGUGAAGAAGGCCUUCGGGUCGUAAAGCACUUUAAGUUGGGAGGAAGGGCUUACAGCGAAUACCUGUGAGUUUUGACGUUACCGACAGAAUAAGCACCGGCUAACUUCGUGCCAGCAGCCGCGGUAAUACGAAGGGUGCAAGCGUUAAUCGGAAUUACUGGGCGUAAAGCGCGCGUAGGUGGCUUGAUAAGUUGGAUGUGAAAUCCCCGGGCUCAACCUGGGAACUGCAUCCAAAACUGUCUGGCUAGAGUGCGGUAGAGGGUAGUGGAAUUUCCAGUGUAGCGGUGAAAUGCGUAGAUAUUGGAAGGAACACCAGUGGCGAAGGCGACUACCUGGACUGACACUGACACUGAGGUGCGAAAGCGUGGGUAGCAAACAGGAUUAGAUACCCUGGUAGUCCACGCCGUAAACGAUGUCAACUAGCCGUUGGGAGCCUUGAGCUCUUAGUGGCGCAGCUAACGCAUUAAGUUGACCGCCUGGGGAGUACGGCCGCAAGGUUAAAACUCAAAUGAAUUGACGGGGGCCCGCACAAGCGGUGGAGCAUGUGGUUUAAUUCGAAGUAACGCGAAGAACCUUACCUGGCCUUGACAUGCUGAGAACUUUCCAGAGAUGGAUUGGUGCCUUCGGGAACUCAGACACAGGUGCUGCAUGGCUGUCGUCAGCUCGUGUCGUGAGAUGUUGGGUUAAGUCCCGUAACGAGCGCAACCCUUGUCCUUAGUUACCAGCACAUUAUGGUGGGCACUCUAAGGAGACUGCCGGUGACAAACCGGAGGAAGGUGGGGAUGACGUCAAGUCACCAUGGCCCUUACGGCCAGGGCUACACACGUGCUACAAUGGUCGGUACAAAGGGUUGCCAAGCCGCGAGGUGGAGCUAAUCCCAUAAAACCGUUCUCAGUUCGGAUUGUAGGCUGCAACUCGCCUACAUGAAGCUGGAAUCGCUAGUAAUCGCGGAUCAGCAUGCCGCGGUGAAUACGUUCCCAGGCCUUGUACACACCGCCCU